GAUGAACGCUGGCGGCGUGCCUAAUACAUGCAAGUCGAGCGAACGGACGAGAAGCUUGCUUCUCUGAUGUUAGCGGCGGACGGGUGAGUAACACGUGGAUAACCUACCUAUAAGACUGGGAUAACUUCGGGAAACCGGAGCUAAUACCGGAUAAUAUUUUGAACCGCAUGGUUCAAAAGUGAAAGACGGUCUUGCUGUCACUUAUAGAUGGAUCCGCGCUGCAUUAGCUAGUUGGUAAGGUAACGGCUUACCAAGGCAACGAUGCAUAGCCGACCUGAGAGGGUGAUCGGCCACACUGGAACUGAGACACGGUCCAGACUCCUACGGGAGGCAGCAGUAGGGAAUCUUCCGCAAUGGGCGAAAGCCUGACGGAGCAACGCCGCGUGAGUGAUGAAGGUCUUCGGAUCGUAAAACUCUGUUAUUAGGGAAGAACAUAUGUGUAAGUAACUGUGCACAUCUUGACGGUACCUAAUCAGAAAGCCACGGCUAACUACGUGCCAGCAGCCGCGGUAAUACGUAGGUGGCAAGCGUUAUCCGGAAUUAUUGGGCGUAAAGCGCGCGUAGGCGGUUUUUUAAGUCUGAUGUGAAAGCCCACGGCUCAACCGUGGAGGGUCAUUGGAAACUGGAAAACUUGAGUGCAGAAGAGGAAAGUGGAAUUCCAUGUGUAGCGGUGAAAUGCGCAGAGAUAUGGAGGAACACCAGUGGCGAAGGCGACUUUCUGGUCUGUAACUGACGCUGAUGUGCGAAAGCGUGGGGAUCAAACAGGAUUAGAUACCCUGGUAGUCCACGCCGUAAACGAUGAGUGCUAAGUGUUAGGGGGUUUCCGCCCCUUAGUGCUGCAGCUAACGCAUUAAGCACUCCGCCUGGGGAGUACGACCGCAAGGUUGAAACUCAAAGGAAUUGACGGGGACCCGCACAAGCGGUGGAGCAUGUGGUUUAAUUCGAAGCAACGCGAAGAACCUUACCAAAUCUUGACAUCCUUUGACAACUCUAGAGAUAGAGCUUUCCCCUUCGGGGGACAAAGUGACAGGUGGUGCAUGGUUGUCGUCAGCUCGUGUCGUGAGAUGUUGGGUUAAGUCCCGCAACGAGCGCAACCCUUAAGCUUAGUUGCCAUCAUUAAGUUGGGCACUCUAAGUUGACUGCCGGUGACAAACCGGAGGAAGGUGGGGAUGACGUCAAAUCAUCAUGCCCCUUAUGAUUUGGGCUACACACGUGCUACAAUGGACAAUACAAAGGGCAGCGAAACCGCGAGGUCAAGCAAAUCCCAUAAAGUUGUUCUCAGUUCGGAUUGUAGUCUGCAACUCGACUACAUGAAGCUGGAAUCGCUAGUAAUCGUAGAUCAGCAUGCUACGGUGAAUACGUUCCCGGAUCU
rnacentral:rRNA from 1 species